UUCCCUGUAUAAUGAAGUAGAUUUAUAGGUAACUACAAUGAUGAAAUCAUCUAGUUAAUGCCCUCUUUCUGUUACUCUUUGUGUGCCUGAACUUCCAAACUUUUCUCUUGUCAUAGAACAAUCCAGCAAUAGUGAUAGCAUAUUUUUCAAUCUCUAAAGGGUUCAUCUGCACAUGUGGACAUGACGGGGCAGCAGAAACUAAUUUUGUAUUUACAGAGAAUUCCCAUGUUUUCAAAAAAUUUCACAUACAUAUUUUCUUUUGUGAUAUUAAAGAGGCAAUAAUUCAAUUUUUGUAUAGCUCCCUUACAAUGUUC
rnacentral:lncRNA from 1 species